UUUCAGAGUGACCUGUGGUCUUUGGGAAUCACCGCUAUUGAGAUGGCAGAAGGUGCUCCCCCUCUCUGUGACAUGCACCCCAUGAGAGCCCUCUUCCUCAUCCCCCGGAACCCAGCGCCUCGCCUGAAGUCGAAGAAGUGGU